rnacentral:rRNA from 1 species
GACGAACGCUGGCGGCGUGCCUAAUACAUGCAAGUAGGACGCAGUUGCGAACGGGUGAGUAACGCGUAGGUAACUACCUAUUAGAGGGGGAUAACUAUUGGAAACGAUAGCUAAUACCGCAUACUAGUAGAUGGACCUGCGUUGUAUUAGCUAGUAGGUAGGGGAAUGGCCUACCUUGGGAACGAUACAUAGCCGACCUGAGAGGGGUAGCGGCCACACUGGGACUGGGGAACGGCCCAGACUCCGACGGGAGGGAGCAGUAGGGAAUCUUCGGACAUGGGGGGAACCCUGACCGAGCAACUGCGCGGGAGUGAAGAAGGGUUUCGGGUCGUAAAGCUCUGUUGUUAAGGGAGCGGUACUUACCCAGAAAGGGACGGCUAACUACGUGCCAGCAGCCGCGGUAAUUC